UUUUGGAUGGACCCGCGGCGUAUUAGCUAGUUGGUGAGGUAACGGCUCACCAAGGCAAUGAUACGUAGCCGAACUGAGAGGUUGAUCGGCCACAUUGGGACUGAGACACGGCCCAAACUCCUACGGGAGGCAGCAGUAGGGAAUCUUCCACAAUGGACGCAAGUCUGAUGGAGCAACGCCGCGUGAGUGAAGAAGGCUUUCGGGUCGUAAAACUCUGUUGUUGGAGAAGAAUGGUCGGCAGAGUAACUGUUGUCGGCGUGACGGUAUCCAACCAGAAAGCCACGGCUAACUACGUGCCAGCAGCCGCGGUAAUACGUAGGUGGCAAGCGUUAUCCGGAUUUAUUGGGCGUAAAGCGAGCGCAGGCGGUUUUUUAAGUCUGAUGUGAAAGCCCUCGGCUUAACCGAGGAAGUGCAUCGGAAACUGGGAAACUUGAGUGCAGAAGAGGACAGUGGAACUCCAUGUGUAGCGGUGAAAUGCGUAGAUAUAUGGAAGAACACCAGUGGCGAAGGCGGCUGUCUGGUCUGUAACUGACGCUGAGGCUCGAAAGCAUGGGUAGCGAACAGGAUUAGAUACCCUGGUAGUCCAUGCCGUAAACGAUGAAUGCUAGGUGUUGGAGGGUUUCCGCCCUUCAGUGCCGCAGCUAACGCAUUAAGCAUUCCGCCUGGGGAGUACGACCGCAAGGUUGAAACUCAAAGGAAUUGACGGGGGCCCGCACAAGCGGUGGAGCAUGUGGUUUAAUUCGAAGCAACGCGAAGAACCUUACCAGGUCUUGACAUCUUUUGAUCACCUGAGAGAUCAGGUUUCCCCUUCGGGGGCAAAAUGACAGGUGGUGCAUGGUUGUCGUCAGCUCGUGUCGUGAGAUGUUGGGUUAAGUCCCGCAACGAGCGCAACCCUUAUGACUAGUUGCCAGCAUUUAGUUGGGCACUCUAGUAAGACUGCCGGUGACAAACCGGAGGAAGGUGGGGAUGACGUCAAAUCAUCAUGCCCCUUAUGACCUGGGCUACACACGUGCUACAAUGGAUGGUACAACGAGUUGCGAGACCGCGAGGUCAAGCUAAUCUCUUAAAGCCAUUCUCAGUUCGGACUGUAGGCUGCAACUCGCCUACACGAAGUCGGAAUCGCUAGUAAUCGCGGAUCAGCACGCCGCGGUGAAUACGUUCCCGGGCCUUGUACACACCGCCCGUCACACCAUGAGAGUUUGUAACACCCGAAGCCGGUGGCGUAACCCUUUUAGGGAGCGAGCCGUCUAAGGUGGGACAAAUGAUUAGGGUGAAGUCGUAACAAGGUAGCCGUAGGAGAACCUGCGGCUGGAUCACCUCCUUUCUAAGGAA
rnacentral:rRNA from 2 species